CGCCGAACGGCGGCGGGAGGGAAAACGCCUGCGCCGAGCGAAGAGGCGGGUCCCGAGUUUCUGGUGACUUUAAACUGGGCCACUAGCUCAACAAAGUGCUAUUAUUUCCGACCCCCAAAAAAGAAAACUGAAGCUCAGAGAGUUAAAUAAUCCAGCUCAUGGUCUCUCAUCUCAGGAAAGAAAGCGAAAAACUGCCAACAGGAAGAUGCUUAAGUUGGACUGGAACUCAGAAAUAACAGGGACUAUCACAACCAAUUGAUUUGCCAAUAUUCCCUGAGGUAUUUGGGAGAGAGAACUGUUACUCUACUGAGAUCAGAAUGGUAAUAUAUGAGAAAGAUAGGAAAAUCCAACUCAAAUCAGCCUUUAAAAG